rnacentral:rRNA from 1 species
AGUGAACGCUGGCGGUAGGCCUAACACAUGCAAGUCGAACGGCAGCACAGUAAGAGCUUGCUCUUACGGGUGGCGAGUGGCGGACGGGUGAGGAAUACAUCGGAAUCUACUUUUUUGUGGGGGAUAACGUAGGGAAACUUACGCUAAUACCGCAUACGACCUACGGGUGAAAGCAGGGGAUCUUCGGACCUUGCGCGAUUGAAUGAGCCGAUGUCGGAUUAGCUAGUUGGCGGGGUAAAGGCCCACCAAGGCGACGAUCCGUAGCUGGUCUGAGAGGAUGAUCAGCCACACUGGAACGGGAACACGGUCCAGACUCCUACGGGAGGCAGCAGUGGGGAAUAUUGGACAAUGGGCGCAAGCCUGAUCCAGCCAUACCGCGUGGGUGAAGAAGGCCUUCGGGUUGUAAAGCCCUUUUGUUGGGAAAGAAAAGCAGCAGGUUAAUACCCCGCUGUUCUGACGGUACCCAAAGAAUAAGCACCGGCUAACUUUGUG